GCCGAGGUGGCGGAAUGGCAGACGCCGCGGACUUAAAAUCUGCUGUCCAUAAGGGCGUGUGGGUUCGAGUCCCACCCUCGGCACCA
rnacentral:tRNA from 1 species